rnacentral:lncRNA from 1 species
GCCGGGCCGGGAGAGGCGCCGCGCCGGGUCCCGCGCCCGCUCUCGGCGGCCGGAGCAGUUUCCCUCGCGGUGACAAGGAUGUGCCUGUGUCGGUUUCCCCCCCGCAUCUCCUUAAGACGAUUUCCAUAGUAACCUGACCAAGUGGCUCAAUAUCGCAAACCUGAGGAUUUCGGCGGCCCGCGGGCAUGACCUCGGCCAGCUGUGAAACCUGCAGCGUGGCCACCUCAACCUGGUCGUUUUCAGACCCAUCCUCAUCCAUCAACAUAUUUGUUUCCUGACUCUAUUGAUCUCCCCCGGAUUCUGCAGAAAUGCAUUCUAAGCUGGGCGUCUGUAUGUCAGAAUCGGAGUACUUCAGUUCCAAGUAUGACAUGUAUUGUAAGGGUUGCAUAUGUUUUAAAUUCAAAUAAGCCAUGGGUAUAAAUAAA